UGAGAGGGCGACCGGCCACACUGGGACUGAGACACGGCCCAUACUCCUACGGGAGGCAGCAGUGGGGAAUAUUGGGCAAUGGAGGAAACUCUGACCCAGCGACGCCGCGUGCGGGAUGAAGGCCUUCGGGUUGUAAACCGCUUUCAGCAGGGAAGAAGCGAAAGUGACGGUACCUGCAGAAGAAGCACCGGCUAACUAUGUGCCAGCAGCCGCGGUAAUACAUAGGGUGCAAGCGUUGUCCGGAAUUAUUGGGCGUAAAGAGCUCGUAGGUGGUUCGUUACGUCGGAUGUGAAAAUCAGGGGCUCAACCCCUGACCUGCAUUCGAUACGGGCAAGCUAGAGUUUGGUAGGGGAGA
rnacentral:rRNA from 1 species